CAGUAGCCACGGGAAUACGUAGGUGGCAAGCGUUGUCCGGAAUUAUUGGGCGUAAAGGGCUCGCAGGCGGUUUCUUAAGUCUGAUGUGAAAGCCCCCGGCUCAACCGGGGAGGGUCAUUGGAAACUGGGAAACUUGAGUGCAGAAGAGGAGAGUGGAAUUCCACGUGUAGCGGUGAAAUGCGUAGAGGUGUGGAGGAACACCAGUGGCGAAGGCGACUCUCUGGUCUGUAACUGACGCUGAGGAGCGAAAGCGUGGGGAGCGAACAGGAUUAGAUACCCCCGUAGUCCCUGUCUCUUAUAC
rnacentral:rRNA from 1 species